GUCAAUGAUGAUAUAUGCACUAGGCUCUGAGUAGUUCAUAUACUGCUUUAAUGGUGAAUAUCCAGCCUAGAAAGCUAUAUCUGGUUC